rnacentral:misc_RNA from 1 species
CCGAGCUCGUGCCCUUCGGGGUAGACCUCCAUCCGUGCCUAUCCAACAGCGUUGCUUCGGCGGUUGCCCCCAACCGCCGGAGGCCCAAACCCUGGAAGUCAGUGUCGUCCGAGUACUAUACAAUAGUUA